GUGGGGAAUAUUGGACAAUGGGGGGAACCCUGAUCCAGCCAUGCCGCGUGUGUGAAGAAGGCCUUUUGGUUGUAAAGCACUUUAAGCGAGGAGGAGGCUACCGAGAUUAAUACUCUUGGAUAGUGGACGUUACUCGCAGAAUAAGCACCGGCUAACUCUGUGCCAGCAGCCGCGGUAAUACAGAGGGUGCAAGCGUUAAUCGGAUUUACUGGGCGUAAAGCGCGCGUAGGUGGCCAAUUAAGUUAAAUGUGAAAUCCCCGAGCUUAACUUGGGAAUUGCAUUCGAUGCUGGUUGGGUAGAGUAUGGGAGAGGAUGGUAGAAUUCCGGGUGUAGCGGAGCAAUGCGUAGAGAUCGGGAGGAAUACCGAUGGCGAAGGCAGCCAUCUGGCCUAAUACUGACACUGAGGUGCGAAAGCAUGGGGAGCAAACAGGAUUAGAAACCCGGGUAGUCC
rnacentral:rRNA from 1 species